rnacentral:rRNA from 1 species
CUGCCCUUAGGUCGGGUAUAAACCCGGGAAACUGGGUAUAAUCCCCGAUAGGUCUCGGCUGCUGGAAUGCAUCUAGAUUAAAAGCUCCGGCGCCUAAGGAUGGGUCUGCGGCCUAUCCGGUAGUAUUGGGUGUAGCGUACCUACUACCCUACAACGGGUACGGGUUGUGAGAGCAAGACCCCGGAAAUGGAUUCUGAGACACGAAUCCAGGCCCUACGGGAUGCAGCAGGCCCGAAAACUUUACUAUGCUGGCAACAGCGAUAAGGGAACCUCAAGUGCCAUGUUACAAAUCUGGCUGUCGAGAUGCCUAAAAAGCAUUUCAUAUCAAGGGCCGGGCAAGACCGGUGCCAGCCGCCGCGGUAACACCGGCGGCUCGAGUGGUAACCGUUAUUAUUGGGUCU